rnacentral:rRNA from 1 species
UACGAAGGGGGCGAGCGUUAUUCGGAAUUACUGGGCGUAAAGGGCGCGUAGGCGGCGACCCAAGUCAGAUGUGAAAUCCCCGGGCUCAACCUGGGAACUGCAUUUGUGACUGCAUGGCUAGAGUACGGUAGAGGGGGAUGGAAUUCCGCGUGUAGCAGUGAAAUGCGUAGAUAUGCGGAGGAACACCGAUGGCGAAGGCAAUCCCCUGGACCUGUACUGACGCUCAUGCACGAAAGCGUGGGGAGCAAACAGG